GAUGAACGCUGGCGGCGUGCUUAACACAUGCAAGUCGAACGGAAAGGCUCCUGCUUGCAGGGGUACUCGAGUGGCGAACGGGUGAGUAACACGUGGGUGAUCUGCCCUGCACUUCGGGAUAAGCCUGGGAAACUGGGUCUAAUACCGGAUAGGACCACAUUUUGGAUGGUGUGGUGGAAAGUUUUUCGGUGUGGGAUGAGCUCGCGGCCUAUCAGCUUGUUGGUGGGGUAAUGGCCUACCAAGGCGUCGACGGGUAGCCGGCCUGAGAGGGUGUACGGCCACAUUGGGACUGAGAUACGACCCAGACUCCUACGGGAGGCAGCAGUGGGGAAUAUUGCACAAUGGGCGCAAGCCUGAUGCAGCGACGCCGCGUGGGGGAUGACGGCCUUCGGGUUGUAAACUCCUUUCGCUAGGGACGAAGCGUUUUUGUGACGGUACCUGGAGAAGAAGCACCGGCUAACUACGUG
rnacentral:rRNA from 1 species